GAACACUGGGUGUUCUUUGUAUGAAUUCUGACUUGUUUAUUCAUGAAUUACCACUACACAAGUGAUAGAUUUAAAAAGAAAAGAUCUGGAAAGUGAAGAAUCAAUCUUGUGCGAAUGUGAGAAAUUUUGCGACGAAGACCAAUAACUGCAUUUGGGAUGAGCAUUGAGCAUCCUGAUUCAGCUUGAGAGUGAACUAUCAGGCAGAUAAGGAGAACUGGCGUGAGAAGUUUUAGAGAUCCGCUCUUGAAGUUUAAAUGCUAUGUUUAUUUCAGGAUGGACAUGUGGCCAUUGUAGGUUUAAGGACAUAAAUGCAUAAAUCACAGUUAAUUUUGUACAUCAACUACAUCUAGCUUUGCAUGGCUAAUUUGAGAGUAUUAGCUCGUGGUUGAAUGUUUCUGAGUUUCAAAUUUAACUGAGGAAAUGUAAAAAAAAUGAAUUAGUAAUACAGCAUCAUUCACACAUUGCUAACCUUUAUGGUGAUAAUCUCUGGUUUUGUUCUCAAGUAUAUAAAUUAUUUUACCUUGAAUCAUCACAAAAUUUAUUCAUCUUACUAGUUUAUUCAUCCUACUCUUUAAUUUUUUAAUA
rnacentral:misc_RNA from 1 species